GAGUUUGAUCCUAGCUCAGGAUGAACGCUGGCGGCGUGGAUAAGGCAUGCAAGUCAUGGGGGUCCAGUUGGCGCAAGCCGACUGGGCAACCGGCAAACGGGUUCAUAACACGUGGAUACUAACCCCUUUCACGGGCAUAACCAGUCGAAAGAUUGGCUAAUUCCCGAUGGUCUCGCAAGAGUAAAGCCCGCCUUUGGCGGGCGGAAUGGGAUAGGUCCGCGGCUUAUCAGCUAGUUGGUAGGGUAAUGGCCUACCAAGGCUAUGACGGGUAGGGGGCGUGAGAGCGCGACCCCCAACAUUGGGACUGAGACACUGCCCAGACACCUACGGGUGGCUGCAGUCGAGAAUAUUGGUCAAUGGGCGAAAGCCUGAACCAGCGACGCCGCGUGCUCGAAGAAGUUCUUCGGAAUGUAAAGAGCUUUUCCCAGGGAGAAAGCCGCAAGGCUGAUUGUACCUGGGGAAUAAGGAGUUGCUAACUCUGUGAACCCAUUAAGGGUUGGCGCAGAGCUUCUCCAGCAAUGGAGAAUAGGAAAACUUAGCUUAUAUGCUGGGACAUCUUUCGUUGUCCGCUGAAUGUUUCCAAAAGGAACGCGACGAAAGACAAUCAGCAGGGAAGUUGUUAUAAUUAGAGUGAUAAAAUGGCUAAGAUUUCUGAAAAACAAAAAGCGAUUAUUUUAGGUACACUUUUAGGCGAUGGCUACAUCUAUCAAGAUAAGUAUGGAGGCUGCCGCUUAGAAAUAAAGCAUUGUAAAAGUCAAAAAGAUUAUGUUUUUUGGCUUUAUGAAAAACUACGGACGAUUUGUCCGGGUAAACCUAAAGAAAGGGCUGAUAAUCAUCAGUGGAAAUUCAAUACUGAAUCCAAUUCUGAUGUAAUUAGUUUUAGGAAAUUAUUUUAUCCGAAAGGAAUAAAAAUAGUUCCUCGCAAUAUUUCAGAAAUUUUAACCAAACCUCUUAGUCUCGCGAUUUGGUAUAUGGAUGACGGGAGCUUAGAUUUUAGACCAAAAAGUCAUUGUGCUUUCAGUUUAAAGACUAAUGCUUUCACGCUAGAAGAAUGCCGACUAUUAUCCAAAAUUUUAGAUAAUAAUUUCGGAAUUAAAUCUUCUGUCCAAUAUCCACUUUGUCGAGGCAAAAGAUAUCCUCAAAUUUAUAUCGGAAAGAGUGGUCGCGAUCAAUUCGUAAAGACGAUCGCGCCAUUUAUUAUAAAUUGUUUCCAAUAUAAAUUACCUCAUUAUAAUUAACCCCUCAGAGACUUGUCUCGUUAUUGAGACGGAUGGGUGCUUUUAAACAUCCAUAACACGCUAAGCUCCUCGCAAGAGGAUGAUGAUAUAGUCCAUUUAACUAUCAAGUUAGAUAGCCAGCAGCAGCGGUAAUACAGAGACUCCAAGCGUUAUCC
rnacentral:ncRNA from 1 species